UACGAAGGGUGCAAGCGUUGUUCGGAUUUAUUGGGCGUAAAGGGUUCGUAGGCGGGAUAAUAAGUCAAGUGUGAAAUCUUCGAGCUUAACUCGAAACGUGCAUUUGAAACUGUAAUUCUUGAGUCAUAGAGAGGGCGAUGGAAUUGUUGGUGUAGGAGUGACAUCCGUAGAGAUCAACAGGAACAUCAGAGGCGAAAGCGGUCGCCUGGCUAUGUACUGACGCUGAGGAACGAAAGCGUGGGGAGCAAACAGG
rnacentral:rRNA from 1 species